rnacentral:piRNA from 1 species
UGAAUGAAUGUAGGUGAUCAGACAAUGCCA